rnacentral:lncRNA from 1 species
CCCCGCUCCUCUGGCCGCCGAAGGAGUCCUGUGGUGCCGGGCAGGAAUGGGCUGCUUGGGGACCCAACGAGCUCCCAGAGCCUUUCCUGCUGCUUCCUCUACCCCUGUGUUUCGCUAGGCUCUCGAGAUGGACUCAGUUCCAGAUUGCCCAGCCUCACAUAUUCCUUCAUAGCAACACAAAGGGACUGAGACAAUAUAUAAGUUAACAUCUGCCAUGUAGUGGAGGUUCCAGAGAAAAAGUGAGAGAAGCUGAGUCUGCACCCUCAACAUGGAGGAAAUAAGCUCUCUUAGGACCAAGAACAGAGGACAGAGGAAGGACUCCAGCAUGAUGGGCACCAAGGGAUUUUGGUCCUUCUGAGAAAGAGGAGAGACAGGGUCUUCCUCUUUGCCUAAGCUGGAGCGCAUUGGUGUGAUCAUCGCUCACUGCUGCCUCAAACUCCUGGGCUCAUGCGACCCUCCCACCUCAGCCUCCUGACUAGUUGGGACUACAGAAUUGGUUCCUUCCAGUGAGUUCUUGGUCUCGCUGACUUCAAGAAUGAAGCCACAGACCUGUGCGAUGAGUGUUACAGCUCUUAAAGAUGGUGUGUCCAGAGUUUGUUCCUUCAGAUGUUCAGAUGUGUCCGGAGUUUCUUCCUUCUGGUGGGUUUGUCCUCUCGCUAACUUCCAAGAAUGAAGCCGUGGACGUUCACAGUGAGUAUUAGACCUCCUCAGGUUAGUGUGGACCCAAAGAGUGAGCGGCAGCAAGAUUUAUUAAGAGCAAAAGAACAAAGCUUCCACAACACGGAAAGGGACCCAAGCUGGUUGCCUCUGCUGGCUCGGGUGGCCAGGUUUUAUUCCCUUAUUUGGCCCCGCCCACAUUCCGCUGACUGGUCCAUUUUACACAGUGCUGAUUGGUCCAUUUUACAGAGUGCUGAUUGGUGCAUUUUUACAGAGUGCUGAUUGGUGUGUUUACAGUCCUUUGGCUAGACACAGAGUGCUGAUUGGUGUGUUUUUACAGAGUGCUGAUUGGUGCAUUUACAAUCCUUUAGCUAGACUCAGAGUGCUGAUUGGUGCGUUUUUACAGAGUGCUGAUUGGUGCGUUUACAAUCCUUUAGUUAGAUGCAGAGUGCUGAUUGGUGCGUUUACAAUCCUUUAGCUAGACACAGAGCACUGAUUGGUGCGUUUACAGUCCUUUAGCCAGACAGAAAAGUUCUCUAAGUCCCCACUCUACCCAGGAAGUCCAGCUGGCUUCACUUCUCAAUAUACGCAUUCCCUAUUUAAUUUUCCCAUUUUCUUGCGAUGCUUCUGUGUUUUGGCUUUGUGGAAAUCCAUUCUGCAUGCAAUACAGAACACAAAUUUGGCAAAAACAGUACUGGUGAUCAAAAAGCAGCACUGUUGCAUAAGUGUCUUCUUAUCCUACUAUGCACAUAAUUAUUUUCAAACUAGUCAGUAACUUAGCUGGCUUCCUCAGGCAAAUGCAGCUUUAAUUUAUUAAAAGCCCUGGAAUAUCAUCAGCUGGAAGGAAUGCCAACACAGGUAAAUGAGGCAUUUUUAAACUGACGUUUUCAUUCUUGCCGUGUUGUGCAGGCAAUCUACUCAUUUGAAUUUUUCUCCAAAUGCAUUGAGCUGAAUGGAAAAAAACAAACUUUAUUGGUAACACCCUGAAAUCCACUCUUGGAAAUCUUGAUUGCACCUAAUUCCAAAUCUGUCACUAUAGUUGGGGAUUCAACUGAAAUCCAUUUUCUUCUUUAUAAAGACAAUAACAAGGUAAUAGUUCUGCCUAACAUGAUGUGACUUUCCUGCGAUGGUGAUUUUCCAAAUUUUAAAUGUUUAGAAUUUUAGAUGAUAGGGAUUUAGAUUUUAGAGAUUUUGAUCUUUUAGGAUUUCAACAUUCAGGAUUAUGGCACUCAGUAUUGCGUCCUUUGAUAUUAUGAUCCAAACCCUUUCGCUUCAUAAAAAACUGUGAAACAGCUUUUUCUGUGCAUUAAAAAAAAGUUUCAAGGUGGAGUUUCUUACAUUAAGAGAAUCUUUUUAAAGAAAAUGUGUGGUGGAGAAAUUUUCGAGGAGGACAUCUUUAUCUAAUCAUUUCUAGUAAGCAAACUUUCUCUACUAGGUCAAGAUCUAAGCAAACACACAAAUGUGAACAACAGGGAAAGAACCCAUUGACCUACCAAGACAGGCUGCCAACAGAAUUUUGAAGGCUUGCCAAGAUGCUUUUAUGGAGGUAGAGUGAAUGAGAUUCCGUAAGUGCAAAAUAAUCCUUUUAAGACUACCCAGAAAGUAAUAUAAGUGAACUAGUUAUAUAAGAUUCAGUGAGGACUACCAAAACAUUGGGAAGAAAUGUGGAUUUUAUCAUUCAAGGAAAUAUAAUUUUAUUGUAAGAUAUAAUCUUUGUUUUUGUAGUCAAAUAGAAACAUUCAUGCCUUAAUACAACGUUUGGUAAAAAGAACUGAAGAAGACACCAUAGAAGAUUUUAACAAACAAUGAACUCAUUAGCUAAAAGAUUUGUCAUGAAAUAAUGAUUGAUUUAGUUGUUUUCUAAAAUAUUUCUAGUGCCUAUUAGAUGUUGAAGGAGACUUUGAUCAUGAAGUGUGUUCUCUGAGGAGCUGCUAUUUUUAUUUUUAUAUUUGUUUGAAGUGAAUUGUCCUGCUAAUUCUUUAACAUAAAAUAUCUUCAAUUACAUGAUUCAACAUUUUAAAAAGUGAUUAAGACAGAAGAAUAUGUGCUGGGAUUUAUUUUUGGAUCUUUGAAGUAGCAAAGAGUAGCAGAACUCCUUAAUCCAUAGAGUGGUUAUUUUGCUGUAUGAUGACUCUUGUAUUUACUCCCUGAAUUACCCUUUCCACUAAAAAGUAUUAAUGAGACAUUAGUAGGCUAUAGAAAAAAAUACUUCUGAUCUACUUAGAAAUAUUCAUGAGGUUUUCUCCUGGUGGAUUCACAUCAAAUUUUAUUUUUUAAAACCCCAAGUAUUUUUAUUUGAUGAUUAAUAAGUAAGAUGGAGGCUGGUAGGUGGAAAUCGCCAGCAGGAAAAUAAAAUGCUUUGGCUAAGCCGACAACUGCUACUGUCCUCCUCUGUACAGACUCUCCUGCUGAAGACUCACGGAGGCUUAUUUCAAGUCUUCUUUAGUUCAUUACCUGCAUGUUCAAAUGGAGCUGGUACUGUGACUCACAGCUUUCUGUCCAAGAAUGCGAUUUGUACCUCUACAAAUCUUCUACACCUUCUUCAUCUAGUAAACACUUACUCUACAGGUCUCAUCUCAAAUCUAUUACUAUAUGCAACUAUAGUACAUAAGCAAGCCAUUUAAAAAUGUUAAAGGAAGAUAUGCAUUGAUAUGGGUUGGCUGUUUUCCCACCCAAAUCUCAUCUUGAAUCGUAGCUCCCAUAAUCCACACGUGUCAUGGGAGGGACCCAAUGGAAGGUAAUUAAAUAAUCGGGGUGGGUUUUUCCCAUGCUGCUCUCAUGAUAGUAAAUAAGUCUCAUGAAAUCUGAUGGUUUCAUAAUAUAAAGGGCAGUUCCCCUGCACAUGCUCUCUUGCCUGCCACCAUGUAAGAUGGGCCUUUGCUCCUCCUUUGCCUUCUGCCAUGAUUGUGAGGCCUCUCCAGCCAUGUGGAACUGUAAGUCCAUUAAAUCUCUUUUUCUUUAUAAAUUACCCAGUCUUGGAUAUCUCUUCAUAGGAGUGUGAAAAUGGACUAAUAGAUACAUAUAGGUACACAUACAUGUAUACAUAAAGCCAUUCCAAAAGACUUUGCUUCCUGAAGUUUGUAAAUGUAAACAAAUUUAUUGUACCAUCAUUUAGGUUACUACGUUGCUCACUAACAUAGAAACAAUAUCUAAAAUGGGUACUUAUAGGGUUAUUAAAAUAUAGUAUGAAUAUGGCUACUGGAAAAAAGUCAAAGAUAUAUUUUGAGGCCACUACUCUACGUCUCUUGAUGUUCUCUUGUACACAUUUGAUAUUGCACAAAAGCCAAAAGUUUGGACUCCUUUGAUUAAAGGCAAGGUCAAGUAAUCCUGCUGGUUCUACCUCUCCUCCCAUUUCUUAAAUGAAAGGAUGUAGUCAUAUAAGGUGCUGUUUAGUAAAAUGGUGCCGUGAAUUCAGCAUGAAAUGUCUGGGCAAGUGUUUUUCAAGUUGUCACAUAUAUACUAUAUUUAUCUUCCUCCUUUUCCCUCCUCAACCUCAGUCCCCAUCACCCAGUGUUUCAUAAGGUUUUACUUUCUGUAGCUUAUACUGUAAAACCAGGAGUUCCCUUCCUCCUCUCCCAAAUAUAACCUUUUCUAAUAAUAUUAAUUGCACUUUCCCUAACUAUACAUACCUCCCUGGAGAUUUUGAACUGUAAUUCUUUCUCUCCUCCAUUUUCCUUGAGCAUUUUUCAUCUAGUGGAAUAUUCGGUGGCAAAGCUCUCAUUCUGGAAGAAGUUUAGCCAUGUAAGCAUAGAAGAAAUAAGCCAACAAUGGUAAACAUAGUUAAUGCAUGUAGUUAAGUCUUCUAAACAUGUCACUUGAAUGAUGUCACAUUUUGCUUUUUCAAACUAGGAAUCAACAAAAUGGAGGAACAUUUGAGGUUUGUUAAGAAAUUUCCCUUCUUAGCCAUAGAACUAAGAUAUUUUUAAAUAAAGAAGAUCAUAGUGGGCCAUAAAUGAUGUGCCUUUCUAGGAUCCCAAAAUGUUUUAUUGAUUGAAUUAUAUAGAGAGAUUUAAUGGAACCGUGGUUGAAAAAUGCUUUUAAAGUCUUUGAUCACUGGGAUAUCAAUGGAACAAAUGGGUUAAAACAUUUUCAGAAUUUAAUCAUUUAUCUAGGUAACAGGGUUGGGGGUAAAUGGCGGGAGAGAAGGGGAGGGCCGGGGCAUUAAUGAAUAGUACUCCAUGUAAAAAGAAGAAUUGACUAGUAACAUCUGUACUAUUUAAAUUAACAGGCUGGCAUAUAUUGUUGUGCAGGUUUUGCAUUGCCCAAUUCUUGGGGGGGGCGGCAUUCACAUUUGUAGUCAUUAUGGGUUCCUCUAUUUAUAAUGCCAAUUUUCUAGCAGAUGUUGGUUUAUUGCCUUGAGAAACUGUUAGAUUCCUCUAAUUUUUGCAAAGAUGGCUUUGGGAAGUUGAAAGAUUACCUGAUUACUAUUAGAGAAUCCUGCUACCAAUACAUACUUGUCUUGUAUAAUUUGGGCAAAAUAUAAUAUUCCUGAAUCUUAGAUUCCUUGUUUGUAAAAUGUUUAAAAUAUAUCUAAAUGUAAGAAUUGUUGUAGCAUAUAUAUGUGAGUACAUGAAUGUGGCCGUCACAGCAGCUGUAAGUGGAAGAUAUUAUAAAUAUUGUUAAAACCUUCUGAUGUUUUAUUUUAAGCUGAUAGUUUUUCUUUAUGCUGACUUUACAGUGAGUUUUAAACAUACACUUGAGUUUAUCAUUUGUAUAUAACUACUGAUAGAAAUCUGAUGAAAAACACUAAUAGUAGUUUAUAAAAGAUUUUUUUCAAUAUGAACUUUUUGUUUCCAUUGUGAGAAAUUAAAUUUCAAAAUGUAAUUAUUAAAUGUAUGCCUGACUUUCAAAUGUUUUUCUAUAUCCAGCUAAUUAAAAAUAUUUAUAACGUAGUAGUAGUUAAAUGUCAUGUUCGCCUUAUUAGAAAGAAUGCCUUCAAAUCAGUAUUAUCAUGAUUACCAUUUAUUUAACAUCUUCAGUAUGCAGGGCAUUUAUAAAAUCUGUAGAAAUUAAUUUUCUCUAAAUGCAACAAGCUUUAUGACCAGCACUCACUGUCUAUAAAAGAUGACUUGCUUGGCAGAAGAGGAAACAGUUUCUUCAGACCUUCCAGCCACAGUCAGCCCUGGUGACAUUGCAUAUCAGCUUCUAAAGGGCCUCGCACAUUCCUUGGCUUGUGAUGUCCCUUCCCCAUCAUCAAAGACAGCAACGUUGAGUUCCUGAUAUCAUACUGGCUUUUUUUGGGAAACUUCAGGCUACCAUACCUGCUUCAACUGUAGGAGAAUCUUAGUUCUGGAGAGUUGACCCUCCAGGCGAAGCAUUAGGCUUUGAUACAAUUUGUCUGGUACCGGCUGUAGAUCUGGUUUGGGCCCCAGACUAUCUUCCCUGUCCUCAAGAAUCAAAACCAACUUGGAAUGACUCCUGGCCCACUCAGCACCUUUCCGGAAGCCAGAAGAAUGAAGUGCCACACAUAUCAUCAGAGAGAAUUCCAAGGAAGAGGGAAUGGUCUAUAGUGUCUCAAGCCACAUUAAUCCUUCAAGAACAGUGUUAACUUUCUCAGGCUACUGGAACUCCACUUUUUGGAACUGUUAUAUUUACUGUUGGGGAGUGACUUUGGCACCAAGGAGAACUUGGCUCAAAUGAAUGGUUUUGGAUCACACAUCUUCAUGAUUUGGGAAUGAUAUGUGUGUUUAUUUUAUGAAAAAUGUUAGUAAUGAAGCAUUUAAAAUAUAUCAAAAGGAAAAUCUCCAAGAGUUGGUGAAUCAUGCUGUUGCCAAUAAUAGGCAUGUGACAUAACUGAACAUUUCAUCAUCUUCAGUAAAUAAUCAAGAUGAGAUGACAUGCUGGGUCUGUGAUCACCAGGGAUCCAAAUGCCUUCGAUCUUGGUGCUGGCUCACAAUCACCAAGUGGCUUCCACCUCACAGUCUGCUGUGGUUGAUUAAACUCCAGCAUCUUAUUGAUGUUCUAGCUGGCAGAAACGAAAAAGAACCCAACAAGGGCAAGGUUGAAUUACAAAGAAAGGAGAAAAUAUCCAUUGGAGGACUACUAUCAACCUCUGCCACAAUUUCUACAUUUUCUCAACGUAUGAAAUUUUAAAGUAUACUACUAAAUUUUAAAAAUUAUUCGUAUUCAUAUUUUCAAUGGUAAAACUAUCGAGCAUUCUGUUGUUUGUGCCAAUUGUUUUACCAAAAAUUUUAGAUACAAGAAGAGACAUUUAUAACACAAGGUGUUUCUAACUGGAAAGUAAGCCCUGGAAAAAUUUAGGAAACAAGAGAGAUGUGAAACGUGCUUUAUGUUAUUGUGAUUUUGAAAUCUAUUUUUUGGAAAAACUAUGCUUAUAAAUAAUUGAAACUUUAAGAGAGGUUGAAGACAGUGGAGCACAAUUAAAUUUUGUGGUUAGAAGGUUGCAUUUCUAAAAAAAAAUGUUUACUAUUGAGAGGGCAUUACAGUGCUAUGAGGGCAGGAAUUUUCGUUCAUUUUCUUCACUUAUAUUUUUUGCAACCAGAGUAGUGUGUCGAACACAGUAGGGGCUAGAUAAAUGUUGAAUUAAUGAUUGAUCAAUUGGUGGAUUAAAUUAGAGUAAAAGAUGAAGAAACAUUUCUUUUUAUUUAUUUAUUUAUUUUUAUUAUACUUUAAGUUUUAGGGUACAUGUGCGUAACAUGCAGGUUAGUUACAUAUGUAUACAUGUGCCAUGUUGGGUGAAGAAACAUUUCAACACAUGAAUUACAAGCAGAUUUUUACAAAAGAGCACACAUUUAAUACUAAAUUUGAAAAUUCACCAAACAUAGUAAUAACAUCAGUUUUUCCUUAGCUUAUUCGAUAAUACGAGAAAACUGUGUAGGGAAAGAACAACUUGAGUACAUAUAAAACCCACUGAAGAUGUCAAAAUGUAUCCAAAUUUAAAAGAGGCUCUUAAAUUUUAUCAAGCUAAGAGAAGUCUGGGACUAAGCAAGAAUUUAUUUGUAGCAAGUCACAAAAUAAAAAUAAAUUAUGUGGCCUAGACUGCAACAGUCAUAAAAUUGUGGGAAUUUUAAUGAAGUUCUUUCUGAAUUUAAAGAAAACCACAGAGGUUUCCUUAUCAUUAUGCAUGCCUUUUGCAUUUAUGAGUGAUAAUGUUUCAUGAGUAAGUAAAAAAGUUGUAAAAAUCCUAAAUACUGUAUGUCUUUAUAUGCUAUCACUCAGAAAUAUGCAAAAAGAUAAACACUUCCUCACAAUAUGUAAGCAGAACAAAGGCAUUAGAAGUAAGCUAUGCAAGUUGUAAAACAUGGGUUGACAUGUACUUAGUCUUAUUUUAUUGGUAUAAUUGAGACACAUCUGGAGAUUACUGAGUCUUGAAAUAUGCAGAUGACUGAUGAAUUAAGUGUUUGGCUGACAGAUUUCAAAUUUGAAAUUAUAAUUUCUUUAAAAUGCUUAUUUAAAAAAAGUCUUCUGUUGUGAUUAGAAUUCUUUUUCAAGGAUGGAAAUGUAAAUAUAUUAUGGAUCCUUUUCCUUGGCCUUCAACAGAGAGCCAUGAUUUCAUUUUUUUGUCAAAGAGAGACAAUAAAUAUUUUAAAUAUAUUUGGGAAAGAGAGAAACUAUAUGUCACAAACCAAUCUCUAUCUAAAUCUUUCAAAGUACACAUGCCCUGUCUUUAAAACAGGCAAUUCAUAAUGAAUUUUUCUUACUUC